rnacentral:lncRNA from 1 species
AGUCCCAGUCUGACUUACCUCCAGAAGUGAUAGAAAAGUAGAGGGACAUUCAGCCCCAGCGUGAGCCACUCUUGCGCACACAGGAACAUAAUGCAGAAGAGGCUAUGGAUGGAGUAUUCUGGCAGCACCAGCUGAAGAGGGAGCAGAGACACGGCCCUGAGUUAGAGGAGGAAAACGCCACUCCUGCUUCUAUGGCAGCUGACUUCUGCCUGGACACUGCCUCUCACAGACGGUUGACACAAAGGCCCUCCCUGCAGCAACGUAGAGCCACUGCCCCAACACAGAUCCAUUUCUGAUACGCAUCAAGAGCCUACUAUGAGGUGUCAAACACUGUGGCAGGCACUGGAGGUGCCAGGAUGAGUUCAAUGAGCCUGGUGACAAUGUUCCAGGCACCCCCAGGCUGAUGGGAGAGACCGACAGCUGAACACUGGACCAUGCCGCAGCCAGCACUCACACACUGACUGAAGCUCUAGCGCUGGCUGGUCCCUUACAGGUGAGUACAGUUGGUCACAAAGGGUGUGGACAAAGAAGAAUCCAUGGAAAUUCAAACUCAACUCAACUCUCCAGGCUUUGAGCACCCAAUGCCCUGGAUUAAAUAUGGCAGGAGGCCCAGCAAAGACCUUACAAUAGAUCGGGAGAGAUAAACCGAAAACCUAAGUGACUAUAUAAUCCAAGGCUGAAUAUAGGGAGAAGCAAAAUAGAAGGAUAAGCAUAAUAGGGUCAAAGGAGGAGGGAGGCAGAUCAGCCAACACUAGCCCUUGCUGGGAUACACACUGCUAUGGACUGAAUGUUUGUGCCCUUCCCUAAAUUCAUAUAUUGAAGUCCUAAUCCCCAUUGUGAUGGCAUUAGGAGGUGGUGUCUUUGGGAGGUAAUUAGGUCAUCAGAGUGGAGCCCUCAUGAAUGGGAUUAGUGCCCUCAUAAGGAAAGACACUAAGGAGCAAGCUUCUCUUCUCUGCCAUGUGAGGAUACAGUGAGAAGGUGGCCAUCUGCAGAUCAGGAAGAGGGCCCUCAUCAGAACCCAGUCAUGCUGGCACCCUGAUCUUGAGGUUUUAACCUCCAGAACUGUGAGAAUAAAUUUCUGUUAAGCCACCA